UACGUAGGGUGCAAGCGUUGUCCGGAAUUAUUGGGCGUAAAGAGCUCGUAGGCGGUCUGUCGCGUCUGCUGUGAAAACUCAGGGCUUAACCCUGAGCUUGCAGUGGGUACGGGCAGACUAGAGUGCGGUAGGGGAGACUGGAAUUCCUGAUGUAGCGGUGAAAUGCGCAGAUAUCAGGAGGAACACCGGUGGCGAAGGCGGGUCUCUGGGCCGUAACUGACGCUGAGGAGCGAAAGCAUGGGGAGCGAACAGG
rnacentral:rRNA from 1 species